rnacentral:rRNA from 1 species
UGCCAGCCGCCGCGGUAAUACGGAGGGUGCAAACGUUGCUCGGAAUCAUUGGGCGUAAAGCGCGCGUAGGCGGUUUGACAAGUUGGAUGUGAAAGCCCUGGGCUCAACCCAGGAAGUGCACCCAAAACUGUUAGACUAGAAUCUCGGAGGGGGUCGGAGAAUUCCCGGUGUAGAGGUGAAAUUCGUAGAUAUCGGGAGGAAUACCAGUGGCGAAGGCGCCGACCUGGACGAAGAUUGACGCUGAGGUGCGAAAGCGUGGGUAGCAAACAGGAUUAGAUA